rnacentral:rRNA from 1 species
AACGUAGGAGACAAGCGUUAUCCGGAGUGACUGGGCGUAAAGGGCGUGCAGGCGGAAGGUUAAGAUGGCUGUGAAAGCCUCUGGCUCAACCGGGGGAGGACAGCCAUGACUGGCCUUCUAGAGGGCGGACGAGGGGUGUGGAAUUCCGGGUGUAGUGGUGAAAUGCGUAGAGAUCCGGAGGAACACCAGCGGCGAAGGCGGCACUCUAGACCGCACCUGACGCUGAGACGCGACAGCACGGGGAGCGAACGGG